rnacentral:rRNA from 1 species
GAUGAACGCUGGCGGCGUGCCUAAUACAUGCAAGUCGAGCGAACAGACGAGGAGCUUGCUCCUCUGACGUUAGCGGCGGACGGGUGAGUAACACGUGGAUAACCUACCUAUAAGACUGGGAUAACUUCGGGAAACCGGAGCUAAUACCGGAUAAUAUAUUGAACCGCAUGGUUCAAUAGUGAAAGACGGUUUUGCUGUCACUUAUAGAUGGAUCCGCGCCACAUUAGCUAGUUGGUAAGGUAACGGCUUACCAAGGCAACGAUGCGUAGCCGACCUGAGAGGGUGAUCGGCCACACUGGAACUGAGACACGGUCCAGACUCCUACGGGAGGCAGCAGUAGGGAAUCUUCCGCAAUGGGCGAAAGCCUGACGGAGCAACGCCGCGUGAGUGAUGAAGGUCUUCGGAUCGUAAAACUCUGUUAUUAGGGAAGAACAAAUGUGUAAGUAACUAUGCACGUCUUGACGGUACCUAAUCAGAAAGCCACGGCUAACUACGU